rnacentral:rRNA from 1 species
UACGGGAGUGGCAAGCGUUAUCCGGAAUUAUUGGGCGUAAAGCGUCCGCAGGCGGCCCUACAAGUCUGCUGUUAAAAAUUGGAGCUUAACUCCAUCAUGGCAGUGGAAACUGUUGGGCUUGAGUGUGGUAGGGGCAGAGGGAAUUCCCGGUGUAGCGGUGAAAUGCGUAGAUAUCGCGAAGAACACCAGUGGCGAAGGCGGUCUGCUGGGCCAUCACUGACGCUCAUGGACGAAAGCCAGGGGAGCGAACGGG